CUACUACCGGCCAAGCCG
rnacentral:snRNA from 1 species